rnacentral:rRNA from 1 species
CAGUAGCCGCGGUAAUACGUAGGUGGCAAGCGUUGUCCGGAAUUAUUGGGCGUAAAGCGCGCGCAGGCGGAUCAGUCAGUCUGUCUUAAAAGUUCGGGGCUUAACCCCGUGAUGGGAUGGAAACUGCUGAUCUAGAGUAUCGGAGAGGAAAGUGGAAUUCCUAGUGUAGCGGUGAAAUGCGUAGAUAUUAGGAAGAACACCAGUGGCGAAGGCGACUUUCUGGACGAAAACUGACGCUGAGGCGCGAAAGCCAGGGGAGCGAACGGGAUUAGAUACCCCUGUAGUCCCUGUCUCUUAUACA